rnacentral:rRNA from 1 species
AACGAACGCUGGCGGCAUGCCUAACACAUGCAAGUCGAACGAAACCUUCGGGACUAGUGGCGCACGGGUGCGUCACGCGUGGGAAGCUGCCCUUGGGUUCGGACUACCUGUUGGAAAGGACUGAUAAUACGGGAUGAUGACGUAAACCCAAAGAUUUAUCGAGCCAGGUUGAGCCCGCGUAGGAUUAGCUAGUUGGUGAGGUAAUGGCUCCCCACGGCGCGAAUCCUUAGCUGGUCUGAGAGGCAGAUCAGCGACACUGGGACUGAGACACGGCCCAGAAUCCUACGGAAGGCGGGAGAGGGGAAUAGUGGACAGUGGGGGAAAGGAUGAUCGAGUAAUGAUGGUAGAGUUAUGAAGGCAGGAGAGUAGAAAAGUGCUUUUACCCGGGAUGAUAAUGACGGUACCGGGAGAAUAAGCCCCGGCUAACUACGUG